UUUCUUUUCCAGAUUUCUGCUCAGUAUCCAGUAGUGGACCAUGAAUUCGACGCAGUGGUGGUAGGCGCUGGAGGGGCAGGCUUGCCAGCUGCAUUUGGCCUUUCUGAGGCAGGGUUUAAUACAGUGUGUGUUACAAAGCUGUUUCCUACCAGGUCACACACUGUUGCGGCGCAGGGAGGAAUCAAUGCCUGCUCUGGGGAACAUGGAGGAGGACAACUGGAGGUGGCAUUUCUACGACACCGGGAAGGGCUCCGACUGGCUGGGGGACCAGGAUGCCAUCCACUACAUGGUGGAGCAGGCCCCCGCUGCGUGGUCGAGAGCUCCACUUCUCAUGCUUUGUCUUCAAUAUGUGAGAAGCACACGUGGUACUGGUUGUCUCAUUACGGAAGGAUGUCGUGGAGAGGGAGGCAUUCUCAUUAACAGGCGAAAGGUUUAUGGAGCGAUACGCCCCUGUCGCGAAGGACCUGGCGUCUAGAGAUGUGGUGUCUCGGUCGAUGACUCUGGAGAUCCGCGAAGGAAGAGGCUGUGGCCCUGAGGAAGAUCACGUCUACCUGCAGCUGCACCAUCUACCUCCAGAGCAGCUGGCCACGCGCCUGCCCGGCAUUUCAGAGACAGCCAUGAUCUUCGCUGGCGUGGACGUCACGAAGGAGCCAAUCCCUGUCCUCCCCACCGUGCAUUAUAACAUGGGCGGCAUUCCCACCAACUACAAGGGGCAGGUCCUGAGGCAUGUGAAUGGCCAGGAUCAGAUUGUGCCCGGCCUGUACGCCUGUGGGGAGGCCGCCUGUGCCUCGGUACAUGGUGCCAACCGCCUCGGGGCAAACUCGCUGUUGGACCUGGUUGUCUGGUCAGGCAUGUGCCCUGAGCAUCGAAAAGUCAUGCAGGCCUGGAGAUAAAGUCCCUCCAAUUAAACCAAAUGCUGGGGAAGAAUCUGUCAUGAAUCUUGACAAAUUGAGAUUUGCUGAUGGAAGCAUAAGAACAUCGGAACUGCGACUCAGCAUGCAGAAGUCAGUGCAAAAUCGUGCUGCUGUGUUCCGUGUGGGAAGCGUGUUGCAAGAAGGUUGUGGGAAAAUCAAGCUCUGCAGAGACCUGAAGGACCUGAAGACGUUCAAUCGGGGAAUGGUCUGGAACACGGACCUGGUGGAGACCCUGGAGCUGCAGAACCUGAUGCUGUGUGCGCCGCAGACCAUCAGUGGAGCAGAGGCGUGGAAGGAGUCACGGGGCGCGCAAGCCAGGGAAGACUGCAAGGUGUGGAUUAAUGAGUGCGAUCACUCCAAGCCCAUCGAGGGGAAACAGAAGAAGCCCUUUGAGAAGCACUGGAGGAAGCACACCCUGUCCUAUUUGGACGUCAGCACUGGGAAGGUCACUCUGGAAUAUAGACCCAUAAUUGACAAAACUUUGAACGAGGCUGACUGUGCCACCGUCCCCCCAGCCAUUCGCUCCUACUGAUGAGACAAGAUGCGGUGAUGACAGAAUCAGCUUUUGUAAUUAUGUGUAAUAGUUCAUGCAUGUGUCCAUGUCAUAACUGUCUUUAUACGCUUCUGCACUCCAGGGAAGAAGGAGUACAUUGAAGGGAGAUUGGCACCCAGUGUCCGGGAGCUUGCCAGGAACCCAGUGGCUAGGGAGCGUGGCACUUACCUUUGUCCCUUGCUUCAUUCUUGUGACACGAUAAAACUGGGCACAGCUCUUAAAUAAAAUAUAAAUGAACAAACUUUCUUUUAUUUCCAAAUCCAUUUAAAAUAUUUUACUGUUGUGACUUUAGUCAUAUUUGUUGACCUAAAUAUCAAAUGUAAUUAUCUUUGUAUUCUGUCACAUCAAAAUCCA